rnacentral:rRNA from 1 species
AGCGGCGGACGGGUGAGUAACACGUGGGUAACCUGCCCAAGAGACCGGGAUAACACCUGGAAACAGAUGCUAAUACCGGAUAACAACACUAGACGCAUGUCUAGAGUUUGAAAGAUGGUUCUGCUAUCACUCUUGGAUGGACCUGCGGUGCAUUAGCUAGUUGGUAAGGUAACGGCUCACCAAGGCGACGAUGCAUAGCCGAGUUGAGAGACUGAUCGGCCACAUUGGGACUGAGACACGGCCCAAACUCCUACGGGAGGCAGCAGUAGGGAAUCUUCCACAAUGGACGCAAGUCUGAUGGAGCAACGCCGCGUGAGUGAAGAAGGUUUUCGGAUCGUAAAGCUCUGUUGUUGGUGAAGAAGGAUAGAGGUAGUAACUGGCCUUUAUUUGACGGUAAUCAACCAGAAAGUCACGGCUAACUACGUGCCAGCAGCCGCGGUAAUACGUAGGUGGCAAGCGUUGUCCGGAUUUAUUGGGCGUAAAGCGAGCGCAGGCGGAAAAAUAAGUCUAAUGUGAAAGCCCUCGGCUUAACCGAGGAACUGCAUCGGAGACUGUUUUUCUUGAGUGCAGAAGAGGAGAGUGGAACUCCAUGUGUAGCGGUGGAAUGCGUAGAUAUAUGGAAGAACACCAGUGGCGAACGCGGCUCUCUGGUCUGCAACUGACGCUGAGGCUCGAAAGCAUGGGUAGCGAACAGGAUUAGAUACCCUGGUAGUCCAU